ensembl:lncRNA
CUUUCAGUGGCAACACAAAACUGAGUGAUCCUGCCUUCAGGAAGAUGGCUCUUUCUCUGGAGAAAGAGGAGGUACCAAGAAUUUUUCCAGAAGCUCUGAAGAGACGACUGUAAUUCUUUGUCUUUGAUCAAAAUUGGGGUCUCCUAUCUUUAAAAGACCUUGGCAGCAGUGGUAUAAAUGCAACCCCUGCUGGCUGUGGUUGAGUGGAGAUGAAGCCUGAAGUCCCUGCCGUUGCCCUACAAACAUGAGUAUAAUUAAGGAUGCAGUGGAAUGAAAGCAGCCGCACCACCCGGGAGAGGUGUUUUCCUUCAACUAGUGGCAUCGGGUUCCCGCCUGGAGCACCCCAAGAUGGCAGCCGGUCUCUGGGUGAGUCAUGGCUCCUGCAGCCUUUUGCAGGGUUUUGCAGCUGCUUUGACAGUUUUACUGUUUUUGCCUUUUUCCUCUGUUUUUUCCUGGAAGAUUUUUCAUCUGCUGUUGUGGUAAUUAAAGGCAAGCAAGUCAUGUCUUACCUUGGAUGAGAGAAGAUGAGAGCAGGGGAAAAAGAGGCUCAGGUUUAACUCUUUCCUUUGUUCUCAUCUAUCAAAGAAGAGAUUGCCAUAUGUUUUCUCUGCUUUUGCUGCUCGUUAUAUUUGUAAAUGUGACAUAUAUUAAUCACAUGUUGCACUAAAAGAGUUUUGCUCUUUGAAAGCUAUUCAUAUUUUAUCCUGUGCUUCAUUUACACUGAUACUUUUUGAUUUUAGAUUUGCAGACUGGAUAUUUUCAUGUUUUUACAUGAAGUAUGGGCUAGCUAUUUCUGCCUGAAUGGUAUAUAGGAGAAUAUUAUGUAUGACAAGUAUAUUAGCUAUAUUUGAUUCCAG